rnacentral:lncRNA from 1 species
GGCCUUCUAUAGAUUCAAUGCAAUCCUUAUGAAGAUUCCAAUGUCAUUUUUGCAGAAGUUGAUAAAACCCUCCCAAAAUUCAUAUGGAACCGCAGAAGACUCGGAAUAGACAAAGCAAUCCUUAGAAAGGAGAACAAAGCAAGAGGCAUCUCACCUCCUGACUUCAAGGUCAAUAUGGCUGCAAGAGCACAUGUUCCUUUCCCAGAAUUGCACUACACACCCUACCCGUGGGCUGCCCUUUAUCACCACUCAUGGACCAUGGGCCACCUCCACCUCCUGCAUGCUG